rnacentral:rRNA from 1 species
GCCCGCUCAGAAACUUAAAGGAAUUGACGGGGGCCCGCACAAGCGGAGGAACAUGUGGUUUAAUUCGAUGAUACGCGAGGAACCUUACCCGGGCUUGAAAUGCAUCUGACCGGCCUUGAAAGAGGUUUUCCCUUCGGGGCAGAUGUGUAGGUGCUGCAUGGUUGUCGUCAGCUCGUGCCGUGAGGUGUCGGCUUAAGUGCCAUAACGAGCGCAACCCCUACCUUUAGUUGCCAUCAGGUUAAGCUGGGGACUCUAAAGGAACUGCCUACGCAAGUAGUGAGGAAGGCGGGGAUGACGUCAAAUCAGCACGGCCCUUACGUCCAGGGCUACACACGUGCUACAAUGGCCGAUACAGAGGGCAGCUACCUGGUGACAGGAUGCAAAUCUCCAAAGUCGGUCUCAGUUCGGAUCGGAGUCUGCAACCCGACUCCGUGAAGUUGGAUUCGCUAGUAAUCGCGCAUCAGCCAUGGCGCGGUGAAUACGUUCCCGGGCCUU